GCUAAACUUCACAUGUUAAUUGUUUUUGGUGAAAUAUUUAACACCCAGGUUAUAGUCUUCUUUGAGUGAUUUUGCCUGUUGGUGAUGAGAAUUUCAAGGACAGAGCAGAAAGUAGGAGAGUAUGUUCACUAUUUGAUCCAUACUCCAUUUUUAAGCCAUGAGAAAUAUGAAAAGGGAAGACAAUGUAUCUUCUCUUUUUUGAAAAGCCAUUUAAAAAUAUAUAUAUGGUUAUAAAGUUUGUAAUACUGCUAAUUAUUUCCUUUUUUGAAAUUCUCCGGUUUCAUUUUCAAGUCAAUUACAUUUUCCCUUAGGACAUGGUAAUAAUAUUCAUCAGUGUAAUUUUUUGGUUUUUCAGAAUUAUAUUUUAAGUAUAUU
rnacentral:lncRNA from 1 species